AGAGUUUGAUCCUGGCUCAGGAUGAACGCUGGCGGCGUGCUUAACACAUGCAAGUCGAGCGAAGCAGUUAAGUUGAUUUCUUCGGAUUGAUUCUUAACUGACUGAGCGGCGGACGGGUGAGUAACGCGUGGGUGACCUGCCCCAUACCGGGGGAUAACAGUUAGAAAUGACUGCUAAUACCGCAUAAGACCACAGCACCGCAUGGUGCAGGGGUAAAAACUCCGGUGGUAUGAGAUGGACCCGCGUCUGAUUAGGUAGUUGGUGGGGUAACGGCCUACCAAGCCGACGAUCAGUAGCCGACCUGAGAGGGUGACCGGCCACAUUGGGACUGAGACACGGCCCAAACUCCUACGGGAGGCAGCAGUGGGGAAUAUUGCACAAUGGGGGAAACCCUGAUGCAGCGACGCCGCGUGAGCGAUGAAGUAUUUCGGUAUGUAAAGCUCUAUCAGCAGGGAAGAAAAUGACGGUACCUGACUAAGAAGCACCGGCUAAAUACGUGCCAGCAGCCGCGGUAAUACGUAUGGUGCAAGCGUUAUCCGGAUUUACUGGGUGUAAAGGGAGCGUAGACGGAGUGGCAAGUCUGAUGUGAAAACCCGGGGCUCAACCCCGGGACUGCAUUGGAAACUGUCAAUCUAGAGUACCGGAGAGGUAAGCGGAAUUCCUAGUGUAGCGGUGAAAUGCGUAGAUAUUAGGAGGAACACCAGUGGCGAAGGCGGCUUACUGGACGGUAACUGACGUUGAGGCUCGAAAGCGUGGGGAGCAAACAGGAUUAGAUACCCUGGUAGUCCACGCGGUAAACGAUGA
rnacentral:rRNA from 1 species